rnacentral:rRNA from 1 species
UGAACGCUAGCUACAGGCUUAACACAUGCAAGUCGAGGGGCAGCAUGACGAUAGCUUGCUAUUGUUGAUGGCGACCGGCGCACGGGUGAGUAACGCGUAUCCAACCUGCCCUUGUCCAUCGGAUAACCCGUCGAAAGGCGGCCUAACACGAUAUGCAGUCCACAGAAGGCAUCUGACGCGGACGAAAUGUAAAGGAGAAGGAUGGGGAUGCGUCUGAUUAGCUUGUUGGCGGGGUAACGGCCCACCAAGGCGACGAUCAGUAGGGGUUCUGAGAGGAAGGUCCCCCACAUUGGAACUGAGACACGGUCCAAACUCCUACGGGAGGCAGCAGUGAGGAAUAUUGGUCAAUGGGCGAGAGCCUGAACCAGCCAAGUAGCGUGCAGGAAGACGGCCCUAUGGGUUGUAAACUGCUUUUAUGCGGGGAUAAAGUGGGCCACGUGUGGCUUAUUGCAGGUACCGCAUGAAUAAGGACCGGCUAAUUCCGUGCCAGCAGCCGCGGUAAUACGGAAGGUCCGGGCGUUAUCCGGAUUUAUUGGGUUUAAAGGGAGCGUAGGCCGUCUGGUAAGCGUGUUGUGAAAUGUCGGGGCUCAACCUGGGCAUUGCAGCGCGAACUGUCAGACUUGAGUGCGCGGGAAGUAGGCGGAAUUCGUCGUGUAGCGGUGAAAUGCUUAGAUAUGACGAAGAACUCCGAUUGCGAAGGCAGCCUGCUGUAGCGCAACUGACGCUGAAGCUCGAAAGCGUGGGUAUCGAACAGGAUUAGAUACCCUGGUAGUCCACGCGGUAAACGAUGGAUGCUCGCUGUUUGCGUCUGACGUAAGCGGCCAAGCGAAAGCGUUAAGCAUCCCACCUGGGGAGUACG